CCUACGGGUGGCUGCAGUGAGGAAUAUUGGUCAAUGGACGAGAGUCUGAACCAGCCAAGUAGCGUGAAGGAUGACUGCCCUAUGGGUUGUAAACUUCUUUUAUAUGGGAAUAAAACGUUCCACGUGUGGGAUUUUGUAUGUACCAUAUGAAUAAGGAUCGGCUAACUCCGUGCCAGCAGCCGCGGUAAUACGGAGGAUCCGAGCGUUAUCCGGAUUUAUUGGGUUUAAAGGGAGCGUAGGUGGAUUGUUAAGUCAGUUGUGAAAGUUUGCGGCUCAACCGUAAAAUUGCAGUUGAAACUGGCAGUCUUGAGUACAGUAGAGGUGGGCGGAAUUCGUGGUGUAGCGGUGAAAUGCUUAGAUAUCACGAAGAACUCCGAUUGCGAAGGCAGUUCACUGGACUGCAACUGACACUGAGGCUCGAAAGUGUGGGUAUCAAACAGGAUCAGAUACCCUUGUAGUC
rnacentral:rRNA from 1 species